rnacentral:rRNA from 1 species
CACCUCUUCCCAUUCCGAACAGAGAAGUUAAGCCCACCCACGCCGAUGGUACUGCGUAUAGUGGGAGAGUAGGUAGCCGCCGUUU